UGUUUUCUCUUGAUUGCAUCUUGUUAGUCUAACCCGUUUGUUGAGUUUUGUGAGGGCUCACAUGACUCUUGAAGAGAUAGCUUGCUUGGUAUUCCACUUUAUUUGUGGGAUACCAUUUGGAGAUUUAUUCCGAUUACCUGUACUGAAUCCCUUUCUUUGAUGGUGCCAGCUUGAGAGAUCUCCGGGUUUCUUGUUUCUUUAGUUGCUGUUACUUCGGAUCUUUAUCCUUGUGGUAGAUCUUUUGAUUCCUUUAUCUUUCCCGCAUUU
rnacentral:lncRNA from 1 species